UACAAACCACAGCAAUGAUUCCAAUCUCC
rnacentral:piRNA from 1 species